rnacentral:rRNA from 1 species
AAGUGGCUUUGCCGUCCAGGCUCAAGAAGGCGUNCGGCGCGUCGUGCGUUCUCGCNGGGUUGUCUUCCUGCGGGUGGCGUCUGGCCGCCGACAAAUCUUGCACUUCUGCGGGAAGCCGGCCAACGGCAGUUGUCCUCGGCUCACAAGGGCGUCCGGGGGAGGUGGCUCCGUGCCUCGCGCGUGGAGAGCUUACAGCCCGGCGUCUGGCAGUCUGGGGGCGACUGAGGAGAGUUGCGUGUCCUUCGCACUUGCGGUGCAGGCCCUCGGGGCUGGACCCCUCUUGUCGGGGUGGCGGCCGACCUGGUCCACUGCGUGCAGUGUCCGGGGACGGCACCGUCGUCCAGGCGGGAAGCGGGUCACACCUUGCGCCGUGGCCGUUGGUGCCCGAAUGGCUGCAUCCGACCCGUCUUGAAACACGGACCAAGGAGUGCAACAUGCGCGCGAGUCUUUGGGUGGCAAACCCCUCGGCGCAAUGAAAGUGAAGGCAGGCGUCUGGUCUGCUCGGGCGAGAGCCCCCUUCCGCGGGGGGGCGCAUCGUCGACCGAUCCCAGGCUACGCCGUGGCGGGAUUUGAGUGAGAGCGUGCCUGUUGCGACCCGAAAGAUGGUGAACUAUGCCUGAAUAGGGUGAAGCCAGAGGAAACUCUGGUGGAAGCUCGCAGCGAUUCUGACGUGCAAAUCGAUCGUCAAAUUUGGGUAUAGGGGCGAAAGACUAAUCGAACCAUCUAGUAGCUGGUUCCCUCCGAAGUUUCCCUCAGGAUAGCUGGAGCCCGGUGCAGUUUUAUCAGGUAAAGCGAAUGAUUAGAGGUCUUGGGGUUGAAACAACCUCAACCUAUUCUCAAACUUUAAAUGGGUAAGAAGCCCGGCUUGCUUGGUUGAAGUCGGGCGCAGAAUGCCGGGGCUCCUAGUGGGCCAUUUUUGGUAAGCAGAACUGGCGAUGUGGGAUGAACCAAAUGCUGGGUUAAGGUGCCCGAAUCGACGCUCAUCAGAUCCCAUGAAAGGUGUUGGUUGAUCUAGACAGCAGGACGGUGGCCAUGGAAGUCGGAAUCCGCUAAGGAGUGUGUAACAACUCACCUGCCGAAUCAACUAGCCCUGAAAAUGGAUGGCGCUCAAGUGUCGUACCCAUACCCAGCCGUCGGGUCGAGAGGCCGGACCCGACGUGUAGGAGGGCGCGGUGGUGGCCGUGCAGCCUCUGGCGCGAGCCCGGGUGAAGCCGCCACCGGUGCAGAUCUUGGUGGUAGUAGCAAAUAUUCAAACGAGAACUUUGAAGACUGAAGUGGAGAAGGGUUCCAUGUGAACAGCAGUUGGACAUGGGUUAGUCGAUCCUAAGAGAAGGGAGAGGUCCCUCUGGAAGGCGCACGCUCCGGCGACGGCGCCGUUCCUCGAAAGGGAAUCGGGUUAACAUUCCCGAACCGGGAUGCGGAUAGGGCCUCGUGCCCGCUGGCGGCAACGCAAGCGAACUCGGAGACGUCGGCGGGAGCCCCGGGAAGAGUUCUCUUUUCUUCUUAACGGACUGGCACC